AAACUUCUUUGUUUCAUUAUAAAAAGAGGAAGGCAAAGACUGUGAGUGCAGAUGCAGAUAAGCUAAUCAAGUUGGUAGUGGGAAGUUGAGGGAGCUCCCACCUGAUUGCUUUUCUUUUCUCAGGGAAGAAUGAGGUGAGUUCAUGAGCUGUGGAGGGGAGAGAGUUUAGGAGAUUUGAAGAGAAAGAAGAUCUGAAACGUCUCAAAGAAUGAGAAAUACAGUAGCAUUCUCAGGCACUGGUGUGCUCUCCUAAGAUUAAUGGUCAUAAAUUUAGAGAAAGAUCAAUCUACGUGGUUGUUGAUUUUCUCCAGAAACGUUCAGCUUCUGGGGCAGAGAGGCAGAGAAGGUGGAAAGCUGAGUUGAACCAGUGUCGGGUGUGAUUAAACAGGAAGGAGAGAGGGACAAAAGAGUUAAAGCUGCUUAUUUUGGACAGCUCUGCCAAACAUCUGUAGGCUUAAAAGCAGUUCAAAGCAGGGUACAAAGAAAAGAAACCCACUUAAAAUAUCUCAACUUGACUCUCUUCACUCCGUACAAGGUUCGAAUGUGAUUUGGACACCAACACACCAAGCCAAGCUUUGUGCGAGGAAGUAAACGUUAGACUGAAACGGGAACCUGAAGCAGAGCUAAUGAUGCCAUGGUAUUGUCCUGGGAAGGAAUAUAAGAAAAUGGAGAAGAGAAGCACAAUAACAAGUUCAGAAAGAUGAUAUUUUCACCACUCAGAAUUUUAGGUUCACAUUUAAAGAAUCUUAUGGAAGUCGGAAAAGGAAAGAACCAAUACAGCCUUUUCAGUUGUGGAAGAAUUAUUUGAAAUGGCGUUCGUCAGACAGUGGAAAAGAGAUCACAAUGGUUAAUUUCGCUAUGUUGGAAGAGUUACUACAGGAGACAAAUACCCUUCUUGGCUGGAGAUCACUG
rnacentral:lncRNA from 1 species